UACGUAGGGGGCAAGCGUUGUCCGGAAUCAUUGGGCGUAAAGAGCGUGUAGGCGGCCCGGUAAGUCCGCUGUGAAAGUCCAGGGCUCAACCCUGGGAUGCCGGUGGAUACUGUCGGGCUCGAGUCCGGAAGAGGCGAGUGGAAUUCCUGGUGUAGCGGUGAAAUGCGCAGAUAUCAGGAGGAACACCGAUUGCGAAGGCAGCUCGCUGGGACGUAACUGACGCUGAGACGCGAAAGCGUGGGGAGCAAACAGG
rnacentral:rRNA from 1 species